UAUGCCUUUGCCAUAGCCCAUAUCCAUGAGGCUAUAUACCAAGAGAGGACUGCUCACCUUAGAGGGAAAAGUAAUAAAAAAACACGCAGGAAAUCUUGGAUCUCUUGGAUGACUGGAUGAAGCUAGCAACUGAUCUGGUGGAUAUCUUCCAUGGUGGACUGCAGAGGAAAGAAGACAAGACUGUUGCAUUAGUUCUGUUUUCCUGACUACCUAAAGAGGAAGACGAUAAUUCAGUAGGUAAACACACUUGCUAUUUGGCACUGAUUUUUUUUUUUAA
rnacentral:lncRNA from 1 species